GCGGGCGUGGCGAAACCGGCAUACGCGAUGGCUUUAGGUGCCAUUGCUCGAAAGAGCGUGAGGGUUCGAGUCCCUCCGCCCGCA
rnacentral:tRNA from 1 species